GACGUAGGGCGCGAGCGUUGUCCGGAUUUAUUGGGCGUAAAGAGCUCGUAGGCGGCUUGUCGCGUCGUCUGUGAAAACCCGCGGCUCAACGGCGGGCUUGCAGUCGAUACGGGCAGGCUGGAGUUCGGUAGGGGAGACUGGAAUUCCUGGUGUAGCGGUGAAAUGCGCAGAUAUCAGGAAGAACACCAACGGCGAAGGCAGCUCGCUGGGACGGUACUGACGCUGAGACGCGAAAGCGUGGGGAGCGAACAGG
rnacentral:rRNA from 1 species